rnacentral:rRNA from 1 species
UGAGUGACCUGCCGAUUUGUGGGGGAUAGCCGGGCCAACGCCCGGGUAAUACCGCAUACGCUCUUCUUGGGGCAUCUCUAGAAGAGGAAACCUCCGGGGCAAAUCGAGGGACUCGCGGCCUAUCAGCUAAUUGGCGAGGUAACGGCUCACCAAGGCUACGACGGGUAGCUGGUCUGAGAGGAUGGCCAGCCACAUUGGGACUGAGAUACGGCCCAGACUCCUACGGGAGGCAGCAGG